rnacentral:rRNA from 1 species
UGAGGAAUAUUGGUCAAUGGGCGGAAGCCUGAACCAGCCAAGUCGCGUGAGGGAAGACGGUCCUAUGGAUUGUAAACCUCUUUUGUCAGGGAGCAAUGGCUUCUACGUGUAGAAGCAGGGAGAUUACCUGAAGAAAAAGCAUCGGCUAACUCCGUGCCAGCAGCCGCGGUAAUACGGAGGAUGCGAGCGUUAUCCGGAUUUAUUGGGUUUAAAGGGUGCGUAGGCCGACUGUCAAGUCAGCGGUAAAAUGUCGGGGCUCAACCCCGGCCCGCCGUUGAAACUGAUGGUCUUGAGUGAGCGAGAAGUAUGCGGAAUGCGUGGUGUAGCGGUGAAAUGCAUAGAUAUCACGCAGAACUCCGAUUGCGAAGGCAGCAUACCGGCGCUCAACUGACGCUGAGGCACGAAAGCGUGGGGAUCGAACAGG